rnacentral:tRNA from 1 species
GCCCGCCUAGCUCAAUUGGCAGAGCGCUUCACUUGUAAUGAAGAGGUUCUCGGUUCGAGUCCGAGGGCGGGCU